CUCAUUCAUCUCCAAAAUCCCCAAAUUCCAAAAGGCUCAUCUCUUUGUCGACCUCUUCAUCUGAAGCAAUUUCUCUGAAGCUUCAUCUUCUCCGUCUUUGACUUCAUCGUUUUCAUCUUUGUCUUCUUCAUCUGCCAUCAAUUUCCUAACCCUUUGCCACCUCAUCAAGGUUUCUGAUGCCAAUAGUGGAAAUGAACAAGUAAUAUAAGCACGACUCAAGUCGUUACUGGCCACAAGUUCUUUCUUCUUGUAGGUGAUUUGGCCGGGAUGAUAGAGAAAAAUGAGAAAUUGCAUGGAUUGUGAAAAAGAAUUGUACUAAUUGUCUUGAUUCGGAUUGUCAUCAGCGUAUCAUCUGUGACAUUGAUCGUGAUCCAAGCUGCCAUAGUUUGACUGGGGGAAAAGAAAUAAUGGUUCAAUCUCUUUGUUUGUCUAUUAUUGAAUAAAUUCUCUCUUUUUUGAUAACUUGACUGCUUUCUUAUUAUUUUGAGGAUUCAUAUUUUUUCUUACUACUCGAAGACAAGA